rnacentral:lncRNA from 7 species
CUGAGACAAAGAUGCUCUCUGUGUACGUUUGCCGGAUGCUUGCGAUCGAUGGCCAAACGACGACGAGGCGCGGUCCGCUGCAAUUUGCGCCAAGAAUAUGCGUGCACUAGCUUAUCUAACUAGCUAGGGGGAAUCCCCAACCUCCUAUAGACCGAUUGAUUAUUGAUUAGUUUAACUAUGCACAUCUCGUCUCGUCCUUAAUGCUUGCUCAAUCUAUCUGGACAUGAAUUGCCGCUGCUGGCUGGAGGAACAUAGAACAAUAUAAAUAAGUAUUGCAGCUGAUCGAGCAGAGGAGGCGUUCAAUUCGUGUGGGGGUUGGGUUGGCCGGCCGGAGACUGAUGGAGUUGGACUAGCCAAGCGAGAGCACCUUUGUUACGUCCGGACUGAUUGGUGCCGUCUGUCCCGUCACGUACGAAAGCAACCGCGGAUCUGAUCGGCUGUCAACUCUGGCGGAAGAGAGAGAGAGAG